AAGAUCAGUUGUACCUCUGGGCUCUGGUGAAAGACAGUCCGGUGAUUUCUCGGUGUUAGCUCAUGGAAUCGAGCAGCUUGGGCUAGAUUUGACCUUGAAAGUCAAUGGAGGAAAGGGUGAUAAGAUGGUUGGAUCCAAAAGAUCCAAAAGUGGCAGAAAUGGCUAAAAUUAUAACGAUUUCAAGUUCACAACCGGGAGAUGAGAAGGUACUAAGGUGGCGUCAAAUUUGUAUCUCAUGAUUCAGUACCGUUCAUUAAUGAAUUGAAGCAUCAUAUCGCUCGUCGGUAGUCAUCAGCUUACAUUUAACACGAAGUGUGCUGUGGUUCUGUUUACUGACAGUACUCGAAGAAGCUGUCUUGCACAAGUUGUAAUUUUAGUCCGAACUGGUUUUUAGUUUGCGGGAAUUUGUAGGGUGAAAGCAGGGAGCAAAGUUUAGGACGGAGGAAUAUACUAAAAGCUUAUAAAGCUGUUUUCCCGGUUCAGAAGAGUUAGAUAGUGAGAAAACAUCAAGUGUUUACUUUGGAGUUACCUAACCAUGUUGUGAUUGAGCUAAUGAAUUUAAUUCUGGCUAUUGAGCAACUCGAUUCAACAGUUUUUUUUUUUUUUUUUUUUUUUUUUUUU
rnacentral:lncRNA from 1 species